UUUCCGUAGGUGAACCUGCGGAAGGAUCAUUGUCGAAACCUGCCCAGCAGAACGACCCGCGAACUUGUAUAAACCGCCGGUGGCGGGGGGCGUUCUCGCCCCGUGCCCCCGAACGGCGGGGAGACACUCGUGCCUUCUUGCCGAACAACGAACCCCGGCGCGGUCUGCCCCAAGGAACUUCAACUAAGGAGUGCCUCCGGUCGCCUCGGAAACGGCGUGCGUGCCGGGUGCGAAUCUUGUGCAAAACAAUAACGACUCUCGGCAACGGAUAUCUCGGCUCUC
rnacentral:misc_RNA from 1 species